GGUAACGGCCCACCAAAGCGACGAUCAGUAGCCGGCCUGAGAGGGUGACCGGCCACAUUGGGACUGAGACACGGCCCAAACUCCUACGGGAGGCAGCAGUGGGGAAUAUUGCACAAUGGGCGAAAGCCUGAUGCAGCGACGCCGCGUGAGUGAAGAAGUAUUUCGGUAUGUAAAGCUCUAUCAGCAGGGAAGAAAAUGACGGUACCUGACUAAGAAGCCCCGGCUAACUACGUGCCAGCAGCCGCGGUAAUACGUAGGGGGCAAGCGUUAUCCGGAUUUACUGGGUGUAAAGGGAGCGUAGACGGCGAAGCAAGUCUGAAGUGAAAACCCAGGGCUCAACCCUGGGACUGCUUUGGAAACUGUUUUGCUAGAGUGUCGGAGAGGUAAGUGGAAUUCCUAGUGUAGCGGUGAAAUGCGUAGAUAUUAGGAGGAACACCAGUGGCGAAGGCGGCUUACUGGACGAUAACUGACGUUGAGGCUCGAAAGCGUGGGGAGCAAACAGGAUUAGAUACCCUGGUAGUCCACGCCGUAAACAAUGAAUGCUAGGUGUUGGGGGGCAAAGCCCUUCGGUGCCGC
rnacentral:rRNA from 1 species